GAGACGUCUUCCAGAUAAGCAAACGCUCUUUUAAAUUUACCUCUUCCAGAUCUAUUGGCAUACAUCGCAUAGGUGUCUCGGAGAUGUAUGUGUGCCUACAGGGAUACUAAUACACUAGCUAGCUGUCAGGUUUUUUGUAGCUCUGUAACGUUAAUACUAUAAACUCACAUUUGGAUUUGGCACAUUGACAGAACAACUAAGCUAGCUAGCUAGCUAAUAAUCAGGGACGUAGUAAGCUUCCAAGUAUCCCAGGAGUGGACAAAAUACCCAGCCCCGCCCCAACUGGUUUGUUCCCUCCUAGGGAUCCACCCACCACAAGGACACCAGGACAAGUCCAGACCCUUCCCACCUCAUCACCACCCCUGCCCCAGGAAGCUGAAGGACUGCUGUUGGCUUCCAAGAACAGUGCCAACUAAGUUCAUUUGGAACAGAUGGCUGCAAACCACAGCACUACAGACUGUUGUGGAGCCUUUGUGAUCAACAAACAAGAGUGGGAGAAUUCUAACAACCACCAGGACAUUUUGGCCGGUUCCCAUCUACCAGCAAGUUAAACCAUUGGGAUCCAAGCGCGAUAAUAAUCCAAGCAUUCAUCCAAAUCUACAAAAAAAUGUUUAACUGAGCAGAAAAUAAACAUUCUUAACUUUUCAUCCAUCCACCUCAAUCUUCACACCUUGAUUUAAUUAAAUUUAUGAAAGCCAAAAGAUAUCAAGGCCCUAAAGCUAUUCCGCCAGAAGGAAAUGCCAAGAAUCCCAGGGUGCCAGAACACAUGCAACAUUACUGGAAGCAUCUUGUUAGC